CCGUUAGGGGGACCUGCGGAAGGAUCAUUACCUAGAGUUGUAGGCUUUGCCUACCAUCUCUUACCCAUGUCUUUUGAGUACCUUCGUUUCCUCGGCGGGUCCGCCCGCCGAUUGGACAAACUUAAACCCUUUGUAAUUGAAAUCAGCGUCUGAAAAAACAUAAUAGUUACAACUUUCAACAACGGAUCUCUUGGUUCUGGCAUCGAUGAAGAACGCAGCGAAAUGCGAUAAGUAGUGUGAAUUGCAGAAUUCAGUGAAUCAUCGAAUCUUUGAACGCACAUUGCGCCCCUUGGUAUUCCAUGGGGCAUGCCUGUUCGAGCGUCAUUUGUACCUUCAAGCUCUGCUUGGUGUUGGGUGUUUGUCUCGCCUUUGCGUGUAGACUCGCCUUAAAACAAUUGGCAGCCGGCGUAUUGAUUUCGGAGCGCAGUACAUCUCGCGCUUUGCACUCAUAACGACGACGUCCAAAAAGUACUUUUUACACUCUUGACCUCGGAUCAGGUAGGGAUACCCGCUGAACUUAAGCAUAUCAAAAGGCCCGG
rnacentral:rRNA from 1 species